UUCUCCUUCCUAAAGAUCUCCUUUAGGUAGUGUAUUCCUGAACUCACAGGGCACUGAUGACCAAGCCUGGGGAGUGAAUGUCCAUACUUCUGAGUCCUGUCUGGAACCAGCAACUAAUGUUAUCUAGAAAAUGCAUCAGAAGUGCCGUAAGCUGAGCCUGCUGCUUGAGUGUUCCCUGAGCUCCUUCCCAAAACCUCUUGAGUCAUCACUGACUGAGGGGAAGGAAGGGUGUGGGGUGGGGCCACCCCAAAGCUUGUGUAAGAACCUUGUGACCUACAGCUGUGGGGGAACAAAGGAACCCUCAGGCUUCUGCCCCAGCUGCACAGGGUUCUUGGUUCCUAGGGCUCAUCCAGUUGUCCUAGGGAACAUAAUCCUAUCUUUAAAAUGGUAGAAGCGGUACCUUUGCAGAUGACUUGCUUGAAGAGUUUUAAACCCUGGCUUAAAAGAAUGGAUUCCCUCCCCCACUAGGGUUAGGCCCAUGGAAUUUUGCAAUCAUACUUUCUCGGCCUGGGUCAUGAUGCUGUCCUUCUGCAUUUGGAGAAGCCUCACUCGAAGUGAGGAUACAACUGAGGAAAAUGUGGCUUUUCCAGUGAAAGGCUGAAGCAACCCUCUGGCUGGUUGUGCCUUGGACCUCAGCAUUCUCUGAAUGACAAUAAAGAGUUUGUGCUGCCUUUUUUCCAUUUGCCAUUCCCCACCCCAUCCCAGAUCCAUUCUCCAAACUUGUCCACCCUGUUUUACACUCUAGGAGGCCAAUCUCUAAUGGAGACUUGGCCGAAAUCUCAGGGUCAGAGGAAGGAGAAGCCGGAUUAUUAUUCCUUCCCUAGCCUAAACGGGUGCUCCUGGGCCAGCUAUAAUAUUUAGUUCUGUGGCUCCACAGCUGGAGGCCACCCUUCCAAGUGCCUGGAAAAGGUGGCAGCCCCCUACCCAGGAGGUCCUGCCUGUGUGGAUGAUAAUACCUAUUUGGUCCAAAUUCAUAAUGGCCUUAGGCAAAGCUGUGAAGGUCCCGCCCUUUCUCUUUUUGGCAGCGUCAGUCCAUCAUUCUUUCAGGCCCUUCUCAACAUUUAGCUUUGCUGCCUCACAAACGCUGUCCUGAAAAGGGCUGGAUAAUUCAUUCUCAUUAAAAGGUAAAUGACUAUCCCUGCUGUCCUUCUUCUAGGGAUGUUUUCUUUGAAAAGCUGAAGUCCAAGGAAUGAAGCACUCAUUGUAGAGUUUCAAAGAGGAGCUGAGUGUGGGAUUCAAUUUCCAGUCUUCUGAAAUCCUUCCUGUCUUUUCAACUUACCAGCCUUUGCUGGAGGAGGGUGCAUUCGAAGUGCGUGGAGAGGCUCAUGCUGGGCUUUCCAGUACUCAGACUGCAAGAGCUUUGGUCUAAGGAGGGGGAGAGGAGAAGUCCUGGGAUAGAAGUGUUCAUUGUGGUAGAGAGGAGGCUGGGAGCUAAAUGUCCAGCAGCCUCCAGAAUGCUUAAGAACAACAGUCUUAGGCCCUGCACUUCCUUCGGCCCCCACCCCCGCACUUUCCAUCAGCCAAGGCACCCUCCUUCCCCCAAAACAAGUCUCGUUCUGGAGAGUUCCAAGGAUGGUGGAAGGGAACAUCAAGAAGAGCCUAGGCCCUAAGAACUCUAUGCUUCAUUUACAUUUUAACAUCCAUCAGUGGGACUUAAUAUUAAUAGCUCUCCCUUAUUGAAAGCUCGGCUGUAAGUUAAGGGCAGGGACUGGGUUUAUAUGUCCUUCAUCUGUGUAUCUUUUAAACAUAGCUCAGUGAUUUGCUCAAGAAACACGAGUCAAGGCCUGGCACAGUGGCUCAUGCCUGUAAUCCUAGCACUUUGGGAGGCCGAUGCAGGAGGAUCACUUGAGCCCAGGAGGUGGAGACCAACCUGGGCAAGAUGGUGAGACCCCCAUUUCUAUUUUUUAAAAAUCUUAAUUAGCCAGGCAUGGUGGCCCAUACCUGUUGUCCCAGCUACUCAGGAGGCUGAGGCCAGAGGAUCCCUUGGGCCCAAGAGUUUGAGAAUACAGUGAACUGUGAUCACACCACUGCACUCCAACCAGGACAACAGAGCAAGACCCCCAUCUCUAAAAAUGUAUAAUACAAUUAAAAAUAAAGAAAUACAAGUUGACUAGAUGAACACAGGAUCUCACUUAAUUCUCACAAGAACCUUGUCAGGUACUUCCUAGCAUCAUUUCCAUUCUGCGGAUGAGGUAGUUACGGCUUAGAAGGGUUAAAUAAUUGGCCCAAGGGUACCCUAUUGGUGAGGGGUAGGGCUGGUGUUCUAGUCAGUUCUGACUGACUUCAAGCCCAGACUCUAAGGCAAGACACUCAACUGCAUUUAGACAAUGCCAGUUUGGACAAAGGGUGGUCUUGCAUCUCCCUUUUUGUAGCAAUUCUCUCACAGAAGUAUUUUUAUAACUCUGAGAAAUCUUUAUAUACAUUUCUUUAUAUCCUUUAUAUUUUCUCUCCAGGUUAAGCCAGCACUUAACACCACAUGAAAUUGAAGUUCAUGGAAUUCAAAGACGAGGCUUUGAAGAGGGUCAGAAGGAUGGAAGACUUGGCCCCUCCUCUCUAGUAGUGUACACCAUGCCUGAGGAGACCACAUAUCAACAUGGAACAGCCCCGGUUAGGGCACAAGGGCGCUGGGGCCUGGACAGUCAUGCCAUGGGAGCUCAGUGGGAGGCUGGACUUAGGCUGAGGUGCGUGGGGAGAGCUUCCUGGACAGCUGGGAUCUAAGGAUGCUUAAAUCAUGGACAGGAAAGCAGCUGCAGCCUAACGAAGAGCAGGGGUGUUAGGAGGCUUCCCUAAAGUUCUGUGACCCUGUAGAACUGUUGCCACUGCUAUGGUCACUGCUGCAACUACAAGCACUGCAUCUGGCAUGGGAGCUUGAUGGACCAGAGCACAUGCAAAGAGGGCAUCGGAAAUCCCAGAAGGGUAUGCGGGACCUUGUACCCUGUGGGAUUCCCAUGCUUACUUCAGGCAAACAGUAAGCCAGUAAGUGGAUGGCUGGCAGAGCUUCCCCCAGACUCUGAGGCUCUCAAACCCAUCUUUCGUGCAGAGAGAAUUGUGUGGUUAUCAUCCCCAGAACUCACCUGCUGAGUAAUUCGAUGCGAGUGAUUUGAUGUUCAGUCCCUCCUAGCAGGAGGCAGACCAGCAGGGAGUUACAGUUAACACUAACUGGGCAUGGCUAUUGAGGCAGGAGAGUAGGGUCUGGAGUCAGGCUGGUCACAGGCCAAGUCUUCAUUUGCAGAGGAGUAUAACUUUGUAAGUUCACUUCAGCCUCUGAUUGGUCACUUUCUGCAAUCAAUCAGACAUUUGCAUAGGGUGUAACUUUGUAUCUUCACUUCAGCCUCUGAUUAGUUGCUUUCUGCAAUCAAUCAGACUGAUCGUGGGCCACUAUUUCAUUUACAUAGGGUGUAAACCAAGUAACCAAUGGAAAACCUCUAGAGGGUAUUUAAACCCCAGAAAAUUCUGUAACCAAAGCUCUUGAGCUGCUUGCUCGAGCCCCCUCCCACUCUGUGUCGCGUACUUUUGUUUCAAUAAAUCUGUGCUUUUCUUUUGUUGCUUUGUUUGUGCUUUUUGUCCAAUUCUUUGUUCAAAAUGCAAAGAACCUAGACAGUUAUGACUUUUUGUUUUCAUUGUCCUUUUUCCAAAAUUGUAUCUGAGGGGAGACUUCCUGGGCUCUGUUAAGAUCAAGCACAUCUGCCUUCAGGGAUGAUGGGCUUGAGGCAAAUACUCAAAGCCACCUGAGGGUCCUCUUGUCCACUGUGUCUAUUCCAUCAAGGAGCACACAUUUGGAGCUGGGGAAGAGCAUGGUCCAUCUUGGUGUCAGAGAGGAGGCUACUGUCCUGGCUGAACCAGAGGGAUUGCCAAGAGAACAGGAAAAAUCGAGCCUAUGGCAUGAAAGGGCAGCUGUGGUGAACUGUUUGCGCAGACCAAUGUGUCAGUAGUGUCUACCUGGGUCAAAAGACACCUCUGGUCUUUCUUUAACCUGUCUCCUUGCCUUCAGGAUGCUACCUCUACCCAAAUGCUGCUGCCCCUGAUAUCUUCCUAAGAACAGAUCUAAUCAUGUCACCAUUCUGCCAGCACCCCGGGAAGGCUCAGGGUCACAUAUCAAAACAAGUUCAGGACUUCUAGCAUUAUGGCAGAUGGCCUUCCCAUGAAAAAAAAACAUAGAAAUGUUGGGUAAACGAUAACAACAAAAGUUUUUUUUAAUGUGUGCUGUCUUUAAACAAAAUAAAAGGAAAUCCUCACGUGGUAGAAAUGGAAGAGAGAAACCACAGCCAAAGCAGUAAGUAUAAGCUGGAAACCUAGAGCCCAUGGAAAUUGCAGAGGAGCCAAAUUUAGGCUCUAGAGACUGGGCUGAAAUUAAAGCACCUGUGUGAGAAUAGGACAUGUGGCCUUAGGCUUGCUUGGAGGAGAGAAAAUGGUUUUUUCAUUUGUUUGUUUUAAGACGGAGUCUCGCACUGUUGC
rnacentral:lncRNA from 10 species